rnacentral:rRNA from 1 species
UUGGUUUGUUACAGGCGGUUGGCUGUUUGCUUGCGCAACAACUUCCGCCCGGCAUACCUCUUCAUUUGUGCGUCAAGGCUUGUUUGCCUUUGCGCAUUGUGGGUUUCUUGUGUUGCCUACCUAAGUGAUGGUAUUGUUAUGAUCGAUUAAAGUCUCUUUUCGUCUUGUGCUACGCUUGUGGCAUGGGAUGAACCAUGAAGCAAUCUCUAUGAUCCACACUGUUGAUGCACAUGUGUUGAUGUUGUGGCCCAUUGAGCAUUGCUUGGUCUCGUGGAUACAGAACCUGGUGUGGGCAUGGGGUCUCAUGAGAUCCUUGUUCUGCCCUUGUUUAGCGUUCACGCUUCUCUAAAACGACUGCUCGUCACGCAGUGGCUCGUACCAGCGUGGUGGGUUAUGUCGAAGAGGAAUGCUACCUGGUUGAUCCUGCCAGUAGUCAUAUGCUUGUCUCAA